AAUCGAUUACAGACAUAAAAUUGUUAUUUGACCUAAACUACUUUUUUCUUCUUUCUAUCGGCUUUGUUUUUUUUUCUUUUUCUACUUCAUCUCUCGAGAAUCUCUUCGUCUUCGUGUUGUGGCGGUGAUUGCAUGCAUAUUCCACCGGAUGUAAGAGAAGAUAGUGGGUGAGAGAAGAUCAUGGAUAAGCUUCUUUCUGGGUUUGUAGAUUAGAAGCCAUCUUCUUUAGAACACUGUGGAUCGAGCAACUGAUUCAAUAGGUUAAGAUGAAACAGGAAUGACGAGUGCUUCUAAAGUAAUCAUAGCAGACCACAAAUGUUUCUUUUUUUGGAUAUUCUAUUUAACUACUACUUCUUCUUCGUUUUAUUGUUCAUUUUGGAUCAUUGGGUGUAUAUCUGUUGACGGGUUGAUGCAUUCUAAUAUAGAUAGAAUAUUGAAUUUGAUUGGUUUAGUAUGAUGGCUCAUGUUUGAGUGUGAAAGUAUUUGCAGGAUUUUGUGACCAAAUUUAUAUCCUCUGAUCCAAUCCAUCCUCUGGUCCUCCAAUAAGAUGUGUAUCCAUAUUAGUGAGGCAACAAUUGUUUUAAAGGACUGUUUACACACAAAACAAACAAUCAUUAUUUUACACCAAAGAUGCAGAUGAUGACAAGUGUGAGUAAAACAUCCUAAAAAAAACAGUAAUGCUGACUUCUUCAGUGCCAUGGUACAGUACGUGUCUAGAAAACAUUGUGAGGUUUACCACAAAAAUCAUGUGAUAUAAUUAGAGGAUUUCU